GUCCAGACUCCUACGGGAGGCAGCAGUGAGGAAUAUUGGUCAAUGGGCGGGAGCCUGAACCAGCCAAGUCGCGUGAGGGAUGACGGCCCUAUGGGUUGUAAACCUCUUUUGCCGGGGAGCAAGCGUGCGUUCGUGAACGCGCGUCGAGAGUACCCGGAGAAAAAGCAUCGGCUAACUCCGUGCCAGCAGCCGCGGUAAUACGGAGGAUGCGAGCGUUAUCCGGAUUUAUUGGGUUUAAAGGGUGCGUAGGCGGGAUGCCAAGUCAGGGGUAAAAAUGCGGGGCGCAACGCCGGCGAGCCGUUGAAACUGGCGUUCUUGAGUGGGCGAGAAGUAUGCGGAAUGCGUGGUGUAGCGGUGAAAUGCAGAGAUAUCACGCAGAACUCCGAUUGCGAAGGCAGCAUACCGGCGCCCUACUGACGCUGAGGCACGAAAGCGUGGGUAUCGAACAGGAUUAGAUACCCUGGUAAA
rnacentral:rRNA from 1 species